rnacentral:tRNA from 3 species
GCCCGGUUAGCUCAGUCGGUAGAGCAGGGGAUUGAAAAUCCCCGUGUCGGUGGUUCGAUUCCGCCACCGGGCACCA